rnacentral:lncRNA from 1 species
AAUGGAAUCUGAUGCCCUCCUCUUGUGUGUCUGAAGACUCACCUACAGAAAAUAAAUAAAUCUUUAAAAGUAUAAACAUUUGCGAUUUAAUGAUAAGCUAUUUUGGAAGCCUCGUUGUUUUAUAUUUUUACUUUAUUCUUUUGUUUUUGUUUUUUUAAGACAAAAUUUCUCUGUGGAGCCCUUUCUGUCCUGAUAGUAGGUAUAGAAACCAUAUAAGCUACCUGAUAUAUUUUUGUCGAAUAAGUAUAUGUUUUUGUGUAGCUCUUAAUCCACAUCUUUAAUUUUAAAAUUUGGCCACUUAUAUAGAUGAUACAAUAUUUCUCAGGAUGGCAUAUGCUCAUGUUCAUACAUCAGUACUACCUGAGGUUUCAGAGUCAUUGGACUCUAGGUGUGUGACAUUCUGCCUAACUCUUGUGUUUGUUCUGAAAUUUUUAAAUAGAAGCAUUUUGCCUGUGUGCAUGAAUAUGAAUAUCAUGUGUGUAUUCAUCUUUAGUGUUUUUGGAAGACGGCCUCAUAACUCCUGAUCUUUUUUGUUUGUUUGUUUGGUUGGUUGGUUUGGUUUUUUUGGGGGUUUUUUGGGGGUUUUUUUUUUUUUUUGGUUUUUGGUUUUUUUUUGAGACAGGGUUUCUCUGUUGUAGCCCUGGCUGUCCUGGAACUCACUCUGUAGACCAGGCUGGCCUUGAACUCAGAAAUCCUCCUGCCUCUGCCUCCCAAAUGCUGGGAUUAAAGGCGUACACCACCACGCCCGGCAUAACUCCUGAUCUUGAAGUAACAGUUUGUUGUUGGUCUCCACAUAAAUGCUAGAAAUUGACCACCAUUAUGUGGAAGACCAGCAAGAGCUUUUCACUGUUGAGCUAUUUCUCCGGCCCUAUGUUGCUUAUUUAUGAUCAACAUUUAUAUUACUAGUAUUUUCAUCUCUCCAUUUGUAACUGUUUAAACCUUAUUUAAGUUCUUUUUUUAAUUUCUCCUAUUCAAAAGGUGCAAAAGCAACACAGG